AUUGAACGCUGGCGGCAGGCCUAACACAUGCAAGUCGAGCGGAUGAAGGGAGCUUGCUCCUGGAUUCAGCGGCGGACGGGUGAGUAAUGCCUAGGAAUCUGCCUGGUAGUGGGGGAUAACGUCCGUAAACGGGCGCUAAUACCGCAUACGUCCUGAGUGAGAAAGUGGGGGAUCUUCGGACCUCACGCUAUCAGAUGAGCCUAGGUCGGAUUAGCUAGUUGGUGGGGUAAAGGCCUACCAAGGCGACGACCCGUAACUGGUCUGAGAGGAUGAUCAGUCACACUGGAACUGAGACACGGUCCAGACUCCUACGGGAGGCAGCAGUGGGGAAUAUUGGACAAUGGGCGAAAGCCUGAUCCAGCCAUGCCGCGUGUGUGAAGAAGGUCUUCGGAUUGUAAAGCACUUUAAGUUGGGAGGAAGGGCAGUAAGUUAAUACCUUGCUGUUUUGACGGUACCAAAAGAAUAAGCACCGGCUAACUUCGUG
rnacentral:rRNA from 1 species